rnacentral:rRNA from 1 species
UACGUAGGUGACAAGCGUUGUCCGGAUUUACUGGGCGCAAAGAGCGCGCAGGCGGUCGUUCAAGUCGAGUGUGAAAGCCCCCGGCUCAACUGGGGAGGGUCAUUCGAUACUGAUCGACUCGAAGGCAGGAGAGGGAAGUGGAAUUCCCGGUGUAGUGGUGAAAUGCGUAGAUAUCGGGAGGAACACCAGUGGCGAAGGCGACUUCCUGGCCUGUUCUUGACGCUGAGGCGCGAAAGCUAGGGGAGCAAACGGG